GCAGGGUGGAGCUCAGCAGUAGAGCGCAUGCCUAGCAUGCGUGUGGUCCUGGGUUCAGUCCCUAGACCCUCCA
rnacentral:tRNA from 1 species